rnacentral:rRNA from 1 species
ACAUGCCUACAUCAUAGUGUUAAUGCACUGGAUCCCAUUAGAAUUUUGCAGUUAAGUGCGCGCUCAGGCUAGAGUAGUACUGAGAUGGGUGACCGCCUGGGAAGGCCUAGUGUUUUACAUGCC